GCCCCUAUGGCGUAGUGGUAGCGCGUGUCACUUGUAAGGUAUUUAUUUACAAGUAUAUGACAAGGUCUCUCGUUCGAUCCGGGAUGGGGGCA
rnacentral:tRNA from 1 species